rnacentral:tRNA from 1 species
CGCGGUGUAGAGCAGUCUGGUAGCUCGUAGGGCUCAUAACCCUGAGGUCGGUGGUUCAAAUCCACUCGCCGCAA